UCUCAGUCUGGAGUCCAACAGUGUGAGUGUUGUUGGAGUGGAGUCUCUGGUUGAGGCCUUACAGUCGUGUCCCUCUCUGCAGCUCAUCAGGCUGUGGAGGAACGAGGUGUCCUCCAGUGAAGCUCAGAGGCUGAUUCUAAAGGAGAGGAGGCUGAAUUUCUCUUCCACCUAACGUGAUGGAAGUGGUUCUCAGGAGGAGCUUUCCACUUCCUCAGAGUUCAUCGCAGACACAGUGAAGUAUUGUUAGUGCCACAAACAGAAUAUUUAUUAGAAAACACAAACUGUGUUAAUCCGGAAAAAGUUCAGAUCUUCAUGUCUAAUUUUGAGGGUAUUAAGCCCCAGGUCAGUUGUGUAUCUAAUGGAGGCAGCUGCUGGUAUCUCUACCAGCAUGAAUGGAUAAAACACCACUAUGUGGUUUAUGCACUAGUAGAUUUCUGAAAUAAUUCCCUUUUAGUUUGUCUUUGAACUGUAGUUUUUUCUUGAGAGUUGAUCUGGGGAAUAUUCUGAGUUAAGUAAAAAUUUAAAAUGUAGUUCCACAGCAGUGAAUUGACAUGGUCAGUUAAUGAGAAGAAUGUUUUUGAUUUGAUUUUUGUGUGAUAAUAUGAUUAUAACUUUAAUUAUACUUUUAAACAAGAAAACAUAGGGUUAAAAUACUGAAGUAGGUACAUAAUUAAUAAUGGUAAUAAUAACAAUAGAGAUAAAAGAC